AUCCUCUGUGAUUCACCUGUGGGGGCUGCCAAAGGCUCCAGAGAGCAUCUCUAUCUGCCGCUGAUACCUUAAGUGCCAUUGGGAUUUUGGAGCAAGGUCUAAAAUGUCAACUGCAUACAACUGCCCUUCCUUUGAGAAACUGCUCUUGGCCUGCCCCUAGGCCUUAGUGAAAACUUGAAUGCUCUACCAAGGACUUCCAAGUUGCCAUGUGACCUGACCUGCCCAUCCUGAACUGGGUACUACCUCUUCCAGGAAACCACAAAUGUGAAUAUGCACAGCAGCAAUCCUUCAUCAAAUACAGGUGGUGAGGAGAAGUGGGGUCAUUGCUGUGACUAACCUGACCAUGUGGUUCAGAAGCCUUUGCAACUGGUUUGUGGGAGGAGUUUGGAAAAAUAUUUGAUGAUACAGGCUGGAAAAACCGCUCAAAUGUUGUGAGCAUAGAUUAAUGGGUGAUUCUGGUGGAAGGUCAGAAGACCAGAAUGCCAAUAGCAAUGUGGACAGCAACGACUGCUCCUGACCAGGACUUAUUGGGAAUUAGAUUAGAGGCCAUUCAUAUUGCGUUCUGACAAAGAACUUGUCUGUACUUUGCCCAUGUCUGCAGUUGAAUUUAAAGAUGAUGGACUAACUAGUUUGGUGAAGAAAAUUUCAAGGCAGAACAGCAAUCAAACUGUGGCAUAGGUAUUGGUGCUGGCUUUUAGCCAGGUUUACUGUGACAGUGGGAAGCAGAGGCAGAGAAGAAAGAUUUUAAAAGCUUACAGCUUGGCCAGAAAAGCACAUGUAAAAUUGGGACCAAGGAAAAUACGAUUCAGAAGAGAUUACCUUCACUAAAGAAAAGCUAAGUAUUUUGUUCAGAGAUAAUAGAAAAGAUGCCUUGAGGGAUUUUAGGAAUCAGCAAGACAAUACUCUUUGCAGCCUCCGAGGUGUGAAAAUGAAAACUCGUUUGAGAAGAGACCUUGGGGCACCCUGCUUACACAGGGGUGGGGUGUCCAGGAAGUUGUUUCACCAGAGGCAAGUGCCAUUCUUCUAAAUCAGGUGCUUGGAUUGCUGCUGCAUUGCUUAAGGACAUUGGAUUCCUGCUCCUUCACUCUUCCAAAGUGGACUCUGACCAGUGAUUCUCCAGGUAUUUUCCAGGCUUUUGGUCUCUUUUGGUCUCAGACUGGGGUUGCACCAUUGGUCCUUCUGAGGUUACAGCUUUUUGGACUGAGCAGCUACGGUUCCUCCAGCUCUCCAGUCUGCAGACGGCCAUUGUGGGACUCUCUGACUUCUGAUCCUGUAAGCUAACCUAGUAAAUCCCUUUUAUAAUUAUUCAUACAGAUAGACAGAUAUCAAUAGAUGUAUGUAUUGAUACCUGUCCUCUGUCUGUCUAUCUCCUGUUCUAUUCCUGUAGAGAAUCCUGACUAAUAGAGAUAUACCAAAAUAUCAACAGGGAGGGGUCCCUGGGAUGUGGGUGGUUGUUGAGAGCCACAGCCGAAGGGGCCCCAGCAAACUUCCAGCUGCCGGCUGAUGAUUGGCUCACAGCGGCCCCAGCAACAUCUAGCUGAUUGGCUCCUCUGCGGUGAUGCUCAUUGGACUGUUUCCCUGCCCUUUCAGACCACGGAGCUGCUCAUUGGGGGACUUUUUUGGCUCCGCCCACAUGACCCAGCCAAUCGACCUCAAGAGCAGGAGGAUGGUGGGAGGUGGAGAGAAGCUUGUGGGGGAGAGAGAGGCUUGUGGAAAGCCGGUGGUGGCAGUUGAGGCUCUGAGGGUUUUUCCGGAGAGGCUGUUUUGUUUGGCGUGUGU
rnacentral:lncRNA from 1 species